UGGAAACACAUGGUAUUGCACAAGG
rnacentral:piRNA from 1 species